GCUUGACACUGAACAUUGAGCCUUGAUGUGUAGGAUAGGUGGGAGGCUUUGAAGCGUGGACGCCAGUCUGCGUGGAGCCAACCUUGAAAUACCACCCUUUAAUGUUUGAUGUUCUAACGUUGGCCCCUUACCGGGGUUGCGGACAGUGUCUGGUGGGUAGUUUGACUGGGGCGGUCUCCUCCCAAAGCGUAACGGAGGAGCACGAAGGUUAGCUAAUCCUGGUCGGACAUCAGGAGGUUAGUGCAAUGGCAUAAGCUAGCUUGACUGCGAGCGUGACGGCGCGAGCAGGUGCGAAAGCAGGUCAUAGUGAUCCUGUGGUUCUGAAUGGAAGGGCCAUCGCUCAACGGAUAAAAGGUACUCCGGGGAUAACAGGCUGAUAC
rnacentral:rRNA from 1 species